rnacentral:lncRNA from 1 species
ACUGUCUCCCAUCACUCCCAGAUGGGACCGUCUAGUUGCAGGAAAACAAGCUCAGGGCUCCCACUGAUUCUACAUUAUGCACACCAAAGAGAGUUCUAGAAAAAAUGAGAAUAAGAAAUUUACCUGUAAUCCUUGCUCAAGAAACUGAAGCUCUGAGGCCACAUUGUUCCAGCCUUUUGCAGCUCCUGCAUGUGGAUACCAGCACCAGCAGCUCCCCGACCAGGGGCCCCAGCUAAGCCCUCCCAGAGGAUGAUCUUGGCUUUGUACAUGGGGUGUCAAUAUCCUGUGAGUCCAACAGAGGGAAGACAUAAGAAUAUGGUCACCCAGGUUUCCUCUGGCCCCAUACUGGGAUCCAUUCCUGGGACAACUAGAAGUGCCAGGGAGUUAAAGCCCCAAGAGCGACCUUCAAGCCAAUAAGAGAUGGAGUUGGAAUGAAAACCUCAGCUUCCUCAUACCUCAGUGGGACAAUCCUGAGAUGUGUUCCUCAAGUCUCUCCAAGGACCUGAUGGGACUGAGUCCUGGUUGCUCAUGAGAGAAACCAGCAGGACUGGAUGUCAGUGAUUGCACCAUGCAGGAUUACAGAUUGUGCUGAGUUUAGAUUUUCUGCCUUCCUCCUCAGUUGUCAGGCUGCUAGCCAGCUCUUCUGCUCCCAUGACACCUGCAUCGAAUGCCUGCCCUUUCCUUACUACAAGACCCUUUCCAGUUCCCAGAUUAGAAUCUGCCACAGGCUAGGAAUCCCACAUCCCAGUAGUGAUUUGGCUCCAAGUGCAAAGGCACCUAGUGUCUGCCUUUUGUUCAGCAGCUUGGUGAUGGACAUAUCCAGGACUCAGAGACCCCUUUCCCUCAGCUCUCUGAGUUGGAAGCUGUCAGGUGCAGAAGGGCAACAUCUUACAUACACAGGGUUUGGGCAGGUCUGGGCAGUGCCUGGUUAAUGUUAAAUAAUGCAGAUAAAGGAAUUGUUGACAUCUGAAAGUCAAUAUGAAAAUUGUAUGCACUGCUGUGACUCAUGCAACUUCACUCCCAGCCCUGGUUCUCAUGAUUCCAGAAGUGGAAAAAAUAAGGCAACUCUUUUCCUCACAAUUCAAAAAAAUACCUAUUGAGCAACAUCAGCUUGGCCCACACAAGACAAUUUUUAUCCCUUCCGUUAGUUAACUUUGCUUUGGCCAAAGGCCAGAAAAACCUCAUUCUUUACAGGCAACCUCAGACCACCAUCCUGGAUCCACUUCAAAAACUAACUGCAGACCUGUGUCUUACUAGAGGUGAUUUGGUAGCAUUGAAGAUCAAAUCCCGAUUUAAAAAAUUAAAAAAAAAAUGAACAUAAAAUGCAUUUUUAAC